rnacentral:rRNA from 1 species
AUUGAACGCUGGCGGCAGGCCUAACACAUGCAAGUCGAGCGGCAGCGGGAAAGUAGCUUGCUACUUUUGCCGGCGAGCGGCGGACGGGUGAGUAAUGCCUGGGAAAUUGCCCAGUCGAGGGGGAUAACAGUUGGAAACGACUGCUAAUACCGCAUACGCCCUACGGGGGAAAGCAGGGGACCUUCGGGCCUUGCGCGAUUGGAUAUGCCCAGGUGGGAUUAGCUAGUUGGUGAGGUAAUGGCUCACCAAGGCGACGAUCCCUAGCUGGUCUGAGAGGAUGAUCAGCCACACUGGAACUGAGACACGGUCCAGACUCCUACGGGAGGCAGCAGUGGGGAAUAUUGCACAAUGGGGGAAACCCUGAUGCAGCCAUGCCGCGUGUGAAGAAGGCCUUCGGGUUGUAAAGCACUUUCAGCGAGGAGGAAAGGUUGAUGCCUAAUACGUAUCAACUGUGACGUUACUCGCAGAAGAAGCACCGGUUAACUCCGUGCCAGCCGCCGCCGUAA